ACGGGUGAGUAACACGUGAGCAACCUGCCCCUGGCUCUGGGAUAGCUCCGGGAAACCGGGAUUAAUACCGGGCAUGACCUGCUGCGGCAUCGCGGCGGGUGGAAAGUUUUUUCGGCCGGGGAUGGGCUCGCGGCCUAUCAGCUUGUUGGCAGGGUGAUGGCCUACCAAGGCGACGACGGGUAGCCGGCCUGAGAGGGCGACCGGCCACACUGGGACUGAGACACGGCCCAGACUCCUACGGGAGGCAGCAGUGGGGAAUAUUGCGCAAUGGGCGGAAGCCUGACGCAGCGACGCCGCGUGCGGGAUAAAGGCCUUCGGGUUGUAAACCGCUUUCAGCAGGGACGAAUGUGACGGUACCUGCAGAAGAAGCGCCGGCUAACUACGUGCCAGCAGCCGCGG
rnacentral:rRNA from 1 species